rnacentral:rRNA from 1 species
UGGGGAAUAUUGGGCAAUGGGCGAAAGCCUGACCCAGCAACGCCGCGUGAGUGAUGAAGGCCUUCGGGUUGUAAAACUCUUUGGACAGGGACGAAGAAAGUGACGGUACCUGUAGAACAAGCCACGGCUAACUACGUGCCAGCAGCCGCGGUAAUACGUAGGUGGCGAGCGUUAUCCGGAUUUACUGGGCGUAAAGGGUGCGUAGGUGGUCUUUCAAGUCGGUGGUUAAAGGCUACGGCUCAACCGUAGUUAGCCUCCGAAACUGGAAGACUUGAGUGCAGGAGAGGAAAGUGGAAUUCCCAGUGUAGCGGUGAAAUGCGUAGAUAUUGGGAGGAACACCAGUAGCGAAGGCGGCUUUCUGGACUGCAACUGACACUGGGGCACGAAAGCGUGGGUAGCAAACAGG